rnacentral:rRNA from 1 species
UACGAAGGGUGCAAGCGUUACUCGGAAUUACUGGGCGUAAAGCGUGCGUAGGUGGUGAGUUAAGUCUGAUGUGAAAUCCCCGGGCUCAACCUGGGAAUGGCAUUGGAUACUGGCUCGCUAGAGUGCGGUAGAGGGUGGUGGAAUUCCCGGUGUAGCAGUGAAAUGCGUAGAUAUCGGGAGGAACACCAGUGGCGAAGGCGGCGAUCUGGGAAGAUACUGACGCUGAGGUGCGAAAGCGUGGGGAGCAAACAGG